AGGGAAGCAAAGCCGCGAGGCAGAGCAAAACCCUAAAAAAUGGUCCCAGUUCGGAUCGUAGGCUGCAACCCGCCUGCGUGAAGUUGGAAUUGCUAGUAAUCGCGGAUCAGCAUGCCGCGGUGAAUACGUUCCCGGGCCUUGUACACACCGCCCGUCACACCAUGGAAGUCGGUAAUGCCCGAAGUCAGUAGCCUAACCGCAAGGAGGGCGCUGCCGAAGGCAGGAUUGAUGACUGGGGUGAAGUCGUAACAAGGUAGC
rnacentral:rRNA from 1 species